rnacentral:rRNA from 1 species
CAGGGCGAAUGUCUUGUAAUUGGAAUGAUGGUGACCCAAACCCUCACCAGAGUAGCAAUUGGAGGGCAAGUCUGGUGCCAGCAGCCGCGGUAAUUCCAGCUCCAAUAGCGUAUAUUAAACUUGUUGCAGUUAAAAAGCUCGUAGUUGUAUUUUUGCGUUGACGGUUUGACCAUUUGGUUGGUUAUUUCGUUUUCGCUUUUGGGAAUUUCCCUUUUUACUUUGAGAAAAUUAGAGUGUUUCAAGCAGACUUUUGUCUUGAAUACUUCAGCAUGGAAUAAUAGAGUAGGACUUUGGUUCUAUUUUGUUGGUUAUUGAACCUUAGUAAUGGUUAAUAGGAACGGUUGGGGGCAUUCGUAUUUAACUGUCAGAGGUGAAAUUC